rnacentral:lncRNA from 1 species
GCGGCGGGGGUAGGGGGCCGCCGCGGCUGCUGCUGCUGCUGGCCAUCAAGUGGCUCGUUAAGGAAAUGCAGUUCCUUCUGGGCCUGUGUGGACUAGGGGCAUAACGGGGCGCCUGACUGGCAGGAGGGGAAAGCGGAGACUCCUUCAGGUUUCCGAAGAG